rnacentral:rRNA from 1 species
AACGAACGCUGGCGGCAGGCUUAACACAUGCAAGUCGAACGAGAUCUUCGGAUCUAGUGGCAGACGGGUGAGGAACACGUGGGAACAUCCCUUUCAGUUCGGAAUAACGUUGGGAAACUAACGCUAAUACCGGAUACGUCCUUCGGGAGAAAGAUUUAUCGCUGAAAGAUUGGCCCGCGUCUGAUUAGCUAGUUGGUGAGGUAAUGGCUCACCAAGGCUACGAUCAGUAGCUGAUCUGAGAGGAUGAUCAGCCACAUUGGUACUGAGACACGGCCCAAACUCCUACGGGAGGCAGCAGUGGGGAAUAUUGGACAAUGGGCGCAAGCCUGAUCGAACCAUGCCGCGUGAGUGAUGACGGCCUUCGGGUUGUAAAGCUCUUUUGUCCGGGAAGAUAAUGACUGUACCGGAAGAAUAAGCCCCGGCAAACUUCGUGCCAGCAGCCGCGGUAA